rnacentral:rRNA from 1 species
UACGAAGGGGGCGAGCGUUGUUCGGAAUUACUGGGCGUAAAGGGCGCGCAGGCGGCUCAGACAGUCAGAUGUGAAAGCCCCGGGCUUAACCUGGGAACUGCAUUUGAUACUACUGAGCUUGAGUACGGGAGAGGGAAGCGGAAUUUCCGGUGUAGCGGUGAAAUGCGUAGAUAUCGGAAGGAACACCAGUGGCGAAAGCGGCUUCCUGGUCCGACAUCGACGUCAGGCACGAAAGCGUGGGAGCAAACAGG